rnacentral:rRNA from 1 species
UACGGGGGGGGCAAGCGUUGUUCGGAAUUACUGGGCGUAAAGGGCUCGUAGGCGGCCAACUAAGUCGGACGUGAAAUCCCUCGGCUUAACCGGGGAACUGCGUCCGAUACUGGAUAGCUUGAGUUCGGGAGAGGGAUGCGGAAUUCCAGGUGUAGCGGUGAAAUGCGUAGAUAUCUGGAGGAACACCGGUGGCGAAGGCGGCAUCCUGGACCGACACUGACGCUGAGGAGCGAAAGCCAGGGGAGCAAACGGG